rnacentral:rRNA from 1 species
UAAGGAAUAUUGGUCAAUGGACGCAAGUCUGAACCAGCCAUGCCGCGUGAAGGAUGAAGGUCCUCUGGAUUGUAAACUUCUUUUAUCUGGGACGAAAACGGGAUUUUUAUCUCAAUUGACGGUACCAGAGGAAUAAGCACCGGCUAAAUCCGUGCCAGCAGCCGCGGUAAUACGGAGGGUGCGAGCGUUAUCCGGAUUUACUGGGUUUAAAGGGUGCGUAGGUGGGCUUAUAAGUCAGUGGUGAAAUCUCCGAGCUUAACUUGGAAACUGCCGUUGAUACUAUAGGUCUUGAAUUAUCUGGAUGUAAGCCGAAUAUGUCAUGUAGCGGUGAAAUGCUUAGAUAUGACAUAAAACACCAAUUGCGAAGGCAGCUUACUACAUAUAAAUUGACGCUGAGGCACGAAAGCGUGGGGAUCAAACA